CUGGAAAAGAAAUGUGGCAGCUCUCAUUUCCAAAGGCAAAAAAAGGAGAACCAGUAGCCAAACAAGUUAAAGUCCCUUGUACUUAUGCAUACAUUGAUGAGUUGUUGGAUGAAGUAAUGGCUCGUCGGGAGGCCAUACCUUCUUAUGAAGUUGCAAGGCAAGAUUUAGAAGCCCAAAUUGCUCCUGAAUACGUGAAAGACCAAUAUGACAAGGUCGAUAAACUCACAGUUGUGGCAACUAGGAAGUCGAGGUUCACACAGUUGGGUAUUUAAAACCAGUGUAGUCUGCUGACUCCCAGGUCUCUCUUAUUUUAUUUACUGCACAGGAUGGAAGAACUUUCCUAUUUCCUUUUCCAAUGCGUCCCCAAAUCCAUCUGAUCAUUCUUCUAUAUGCAAUGUACCUGUAAAUCCUAAAAUAGAAAGAAAAUAUGAUGCAAAAAGUGUUUAGACCUGUAAUAAAAUUUCAAAAUUAUUGUAAUGCUGUUUUAAACUAUAGGCCCUACUUAAGUGAUAUGUUCUGAAUGCAAUUGAUGUUAUAUUUGUUUGCUAAGUACAUGUAAAUGAUUGUUUUUGUGUUUUACUAAAGCAAUGUAGUUAUAUUUCAAUGUUUUUUGCUGUUUCUAAAUAAAAUAUAUAGGCCUAUGGUGCAGAAACAACUGCAUUUAAUUUACAGUAAAAUAACUACAUCACAGGUGCAUACAGUGUAGGACUAGAAUUUAGCACUAAUACAUGUAUUUUCAAUAAACAAUUUUUCAACUA